AAAUAUUGAGGUGUUCUAAAACUUUUGACCGGUAGUGUAUAUCUGUACUUUAUAAAAUGUACAUUGUGUUCUAAUUUGAAUUACUAGUUCUAAGUAUAUUCGAAUGAAACCUGCUGAAUAGUGUUAUGCUAACAUUGAAUUACAUACCACUUUGUAGUUUUAAUAUACUUUAUUAUUACGGAUUCCGGUAUUUUGCGAUAUCACUUUGUAGUUUCUAAGAUUCUACAAUGUUAAAUAAAAUAUCUAAAUUAUGUUCAUAUAGUUUUUCUUUUUAAUUGUCUCAAUCCUAAAAUUGUAGGUGAUGUAAAACUUUUGGGCAUAGCUGUAAUUUUGAAUCAAUUAGGAAACCAAUAUUACAAAGCGUUAUGUCUUUAUCUUCACAUACUCUAGAAGAAAAAAUCAAAUUUUGUGCAAAAAUGUUAUCAGAAAAAACAUCAUGGAUGUAACAUUAUUACAAACCUCAAUUUAAAAUCAUUAAAAAAUAUUUCAAUUUUUCCAAAGAAUUUUAUUAGUAACUGGGUAUGGCACCCAUACAGUCAAUAUCUAACAUGCUUACAAAUAUGUAACUAUUAAAUUGAACAUACAAUUUAAUAUAUGAAAUUCAGGCUACAAUACAUGAAUUUUUUUUGCAUCAAUCUCUUUUUAUUUAUUGGGUUAUUACAACCUAUUUUUUUAAUGAAAUUGAAUACAACAUAUAUAAAACAAAGGACUUAAAAGGAAUUUCUAGUAUAGUACUCUAUACAAGCUUCAGAUAUAGGCCUAUUUCAACUGCUUAAAAACUGAUUCUGGAGACACAAUAUUGUUUACAGAUUGGAAUCCCAAAAGGAAAGAGGUUAGGGUAUCUGGCUGGUAAUGUAUUCAUAAAAGAGCUGUUUGGGGUAAUAGCUGUGUUUGUGUGCUUAAAAUAUUCACAUCGUUAGUAGUACAGUGCUUGCCAUCCACUCUAACUUCACCCACGAGUAAGAGAACUUCAUAUUUCAUAUUCUGAGAUACAUAAGCAGUAAGGCAUGACAGGGUGUGUGAUAUAUAGGGUUACCAUGUGGCUCCAGAUUAACCAGAUGCUGUGAGAGAACGGGAUUUCAAACUUGCCCCUAAAUUGAAAUAAAUGAAGGUGUAAAUGAACCAUCCUUAGCUACAAUUAAGAAUGGUGCUUAAAUACCCGCAUGCGCGUCAAAUAAUUGUAUUAAACUAAGAAUGAAUUGCAGCCAGUCCCUAUCUUUUUUCUGUUUGUUAAAAUUCAAUCGGCCAUAUUAUUCUGCAAAUACAAUCGCAUCAUCAUCUCGUUGCUCUAUCGAUAAAUUAGCUAUUCGUUCAUUAAGAUCUGAUCAGAAGCAGCUGAUCAGUGUGAAUUGUUUGCUGCGCCCAAGCAAUUCCACCACAGCAGAAUUAAUCUCAGCAAAGGUGGAGCUCAUUAAUACGUGAAUUACUUUCAAUUUAGGGGGAAUUUUGAAAUCCCGGUCUGUCUCGAAGCGUCCGGUUAAUCUGGAGCCAUAUGGUAACCCUAUGAUAUACUCUAAUAUCCACACGCCCCGGGUGCGUUAUAAGUCACGAGCCGUGCCUUAUUGUGCUUAUAAAAUGGUUCAACUGACUAAAUAGUAAUAAUAAAAAUAAGACAAAAAACAUAAAAACAUGUUUUAAUUAACAGAAAAUAUUUUUUUAUUAAAUAUACUUCUGCCUCUGACCUAAAAAAUAGUCCCUUAAAAAAAAAAUGCAUUCAUUAAAAAAUUAUUAUUAUUAUUAUUAUUAUUAUUAUUAUUAAUAAACUUUGAACUGAUUCAAAACAAGAAGCACUAUUUAUUUCUAGAUGUUAAAUUGAACACUGCCAUUGAAAUUGCAGCUUUGAAGAUUUACAUGCCCUUUUCUGAGCAGUAGGUGGCGCUGCAGCAAGCUAUUUCGAGCAACGUGGUGUUUGAUUCAUUGUUGUCGUUGUCUGAGGAAGUGCAGCAGGACAAUCACGUAGACCUUCUUUGCCUUCUAUAUCCAGAAGCUGUGCUUCGAUACCAAGACUUCUGAAACGGCUUUACAGAGCUGCUGUAGCUAACUGAGUUUGAGGGGUCCCCAGUGACUUCUACUUGGAGUGCAGGCUAAGAACCUUGGAGUCACCCUGGACCCCUGCCUCUCUUAUUCCCAGCACAUCUCCACUCUGGCACGCACUUGCCGAUUCUUCCUGAGCAACAUCCGAAGAAUCCGACCCUUCCUCACCAACUAUGCUACCCAGCUCCUGGUACUCUCCCGCCUAGACUACUGCAACUCCCUCCUGGCUGGCCUCCCUGUGUCCGCCACCCGUCCGCUCCAGCUCAUCCAGAACUCUGCUGCCCGCCUGGUGUUCUCUCUGCCUCGCUUCACCCACGCUACUCCCCUACUCCGCUCGCUCCACUGGCUCCCGAUCACCGCUCGCAUCCAGUUCAAGACUCUUGUACUAGCCUACAGAUGCCUUGACCAGUCUGCACCCAGCUACCUCCAGACCCUCAUCUCUCCCUACACCCCCACUCGACCUCUCCGCUCUGCCUGCACUAGAAGACUAGCUCUACCACCGCUACGCUCCCCUGCCUCCAAAGCCCGCUCCUUCUCCACCCUUGCUCCGCAGUGGUGGAAUGACCUUCCUACAGAUGUCAGGACUGCCCAGUCCCUGACCACAUUCCGGCGCCUCCUUAAGACUCACCUCUUCAAAGAGCACCUGUAGAACUCCUCUGUUUGUAUCCUGGGACACUAUCACCCUUCAUGUAAAUGUGCUUUAUUUUGCUCUUAUCAGCCCCUAUUUUACUGCAUUUAAUCCUGUACUUCAGAAUACUGUAAUCUGCCAAGUUUUUAACCUGUAGUACUUUGUAUUUAAUCACAUCCUGAUGUAACUAUCACUAUUUAAUCAUAUCCUGAUGUAACUAUCACUAUUACCUGCUGUAUUAUUGAAUUGUGGUUUGUCAAACUUGUACUUUACUUGAACAAAAGUUAUUGUAUUUCUUGCUCUUAUUGUAUUACUUGUAUUGUAACGCUUGAAAUGUUUUUGCUUACGAUUGUAAGUCGCCCUGGAUAAGGGCGUCUGCUAAGAAAUAAAUAAUAAUAAUAAUAAAUAGGUCUUCUGAUUUUCUGUGUUUUACCUCAGCUUUUCUACUCUCCUUAAAAAAAUGAAAUUGAUACCUGUUAAGCCAUUUGUGUAUCUCAAUCACAACUGAGAAACGCGUUAAUAGUAAAGUUGAUUUGAUUUACAGGUUUUUUCUGUGAAACAACUAAAUGGACUUUUAAAUUGUAAGUCUUACUUUUUCAUUGAAAUGCAGAAGCGACUCAUCUUUAUUCAUGUAAAUACAGUUACUUAUAAUGAUUGUAAUAGUGUGUCCAGCUAAACGCUUCAUUUUUCAUUCUAGCUUUAGUAAAGAUGAGUCGCUUAUUAACAUCUGGCAAUCUCUUUUGUACGUUCUGCUUCUAAAUAAAGGCUUGGCCUAUUUAAAAGCCCAUUGAGUUGUUUGACAAUACCUAGUUAUGUUCACACUGACUUUAUUCCAAGUACAGUAUCACGUUAAUUCAAAGAAAGACUUGUGACAUUUGCAGGAUCAAUUUAAAAAAAAAAAAAAGCAAUUUACUAAUAGCAGUAGUUUGUACUUGUCUGUCUGACAGCAGUAGGAAAAAAGAAGACCAAAAAAUAAACAUAAAAUACAAGCAAUCUUCUCUCUCAGUCCCAGAAUAGCAGCUGCAAACAAAACCGGCAUCUCCCGCAGGUUAGUCAGGCAUCCUCAUAUGCGGAAUAGCUGCAAUUUAUUAGGGGGUGAACUAUGCAUCAACAACCGCAGAGUCACAUAUAAUAGGACUUCAGUUUUACAUCUCGUCCGAACGACACAAGGAGGUUAAGUGACUUGCUCAGUGUCACACACAGUAAGUCAGUGGCUGAGCUGGGAUUUGAACCAGGAACCUCCUGGUAUCAAGCCCUUUUCUUUAACCUUUGGACCAUCAAUCCUCUAUGAAUGUAAUGGACUAUCCUCUAUUUUUUUCCAGGAACUCCAAAAAAUACUUUUUUACUUCUUAUUUUUGAUUCUUCUUGAAUCACCUUUGCAUAAUAGUAGUGCAAUAAAAUGUCUAGUCUCCUAGUAAUAUUAAAUAGUAUGAGUUUUACUUACCAGAGGAUUGUGUACAGUAGCUGUUGCAGUUUUGGACACAGAGGAGUCUUGUUACUGUAAAGUUGUAAGCUCCUGGUAGGGCAGAGACCCAAUUCAAAUAUAUUGUCAAACAAGGAAAUGACCUUGUGGGUGGGAACCCAAGCUAACCUGAUUAUUUCAGAUAACUAAACCACAUUUACUUGUGUACAGUCAAAAAAGAGCAUAACCUCAGAUCCAAAAUGAGUCUUAACAACUCGCCAAGGCUGAAUUAAAUAUAUGGCUGUGUAGAAGCCCAUGGUUCUCCAUCCUGUGUGAUUUUUUUUUUUUUUUUUUUUUGGAUCAAAUGUUUUUUAUUAGGGAGUACAAUAAACACAGUACAGUAAUGUAGUAUAGAUAGCUGAUGGUCUGUAUGAAGUUAAGGAAUAUAGGCGUAUGAGAGGGCCAUUUUUAAGUUGACAGUUUGUGUGUUUUUCCAUAGCACGCCAGAUUGAUAUUAACGAGUAAUUAUUGGACUGAACUUUAAUUUGCAGUGCCUAAUAGAGAUAUUUAAGUAAAUCAAGUCUUGUAAUCUAGUCUUGUAGUCACCAAUAGAGAUGUUGGGAUUGAACCAAAUAGUGAGCGGGCGCAACACAAAUGACCAAAAAUACAAUUUGAAAUUUGGAAGGGAUAAACCUCCUGAUACUUUUUCACGUUGCAGAGUAGAAAGUUCGGUACAGGGUCUUUUUCCUCUCCAAAUAAAUUUGGAAGUCAGGGAAUGAAGUUUGUCCCAAUAUCCACUUGGGGGAGAUAAAGAGAGCAUAGAGCUGAAAAAGCUAACCUGUGGGAGCACAUUUGUUUUAAUUAUAGCGAUGCGGGCCUGGAAUUAAUUCGUGAAGUGUGACCAGUUGUCCAGAUCUGAUUUUACCUGAGCGAAAAUUUUGUUGAAAUUAGUAGAUACAGUAGAGUGCAGAGAGGGGUAAAUAUCAACGGAAAGAUAUCUGAAGUGUCUGACUACUGGAAUAUCUGAGGGAAGGGUAUCCUGAAAGAGUGUCCAAGAAAUCUCUUUGGAGUGCUUCAGAGUGUGGAAUUUCUCUUUAGUUUUCGACCUUAAACGGUUUGAAAAUGAAAGUCGUGGGUUUCUCACUGAUUGAAAACACUUGGUAAUGUUUUACAAGAUCUUCAAUCUGACAGUGAGGACGAAAUGGAAAACGCUCUGAGAAUCCUGCUCUGAAGCUGGAGCGGUCAGAGUGUGCCCCAAGCGCUCCGAAAUUGAUCUCUGAGUUUUCCGAACGACAACACAGAGCACUCCAGGAGUUUACGAACGGUCAGCGUGCGCUCUGACACUCCUGCGAUUCAGUUUACAAAAGCACCCUUAAUUAUACCCCUUUCACACACAAAGGCCGCUACUGAGCCUUCUGACGUUUAAAAAAUUCCUUAAAAUACCCAUUCACACAGCACAAAAUUGCACAAUAUAUGCCAGUAUAAUACUGUUAUAACCCUUUCACAUAGCCAAAUGGAUCAUGUGAGUACAACUUUCAAACCUUAAUUAAUUAUUUAGUAGAUCUCUUUCUAUGACACAUUUGCAACUAUUCCUUAAAUCUGCAAUAAUGUGCCAGUUAUUGUUAGUACCAUUAUAAACAGGUAACCUUUUUUUAUUUAUUCAUUUAAUUAAUUUAUUAAAUUUAACUAAAGUAAAUACAAGCUGUCAAAUAAUACACAUGCCAACUAAUGUAUACUAUAACUCCAAGUUAGAACUGGGUCAGUAUUUUGGCAAAUCUAUAAACAGUAAUAAAAAUAUGCCUUGGUUCAAUAACCGGGCAGUUUUAAAAGUAUUGGAUUACCAAAACAAAUAAUAAACCCAAAAUAUUUAAUUCAGAGUACACUACACCAUAAACACUUUAACCUCCUAAUACUUGGGACAAAAAUACCAGUCAUUUUAUUGUAAACAAAAUCAGAAAUGUAGUUAAAAUUCACAAGCUUAAUACUAAUAGAGACCAAUUGUAAUUUGAAUACCCCUACUGUAAGAAAAACACUAAUAUGUAAAGGUAGUAAAAAUAAGGUCUAGUUUAUUGUAGUAAUAGAAUACAAAUAGAGUAGCUUGUCUCAGUAGGAUGUGCAUCUGAGCUCCGGACCCUGGGCUGCGUCAUCCUUUAUACAUAAAAGAGUUUCAUCCCUCAAGCACAAGACAUGCACAGCAUUUGAAUACAAACAAUUAAUUUUUUUAUUAAGCAGAUAAUAUGCCGUGAGAAUAGCAGACAGGAAGACAUGGCUCCAGUUGUUUUCGUCCUUGAACAAUAUGUUUUCACUGGUGUUAUGGGUUACUGUGAGAUCCCAUGCCCCUGGCAGUGAGCUCAGAAUAGACAUUAUCACAAACUGCACUCACCCCCGACACACAAGAAUAAGAAAAGGCUUAAAUUUAAACAAAAAUCUGCCACUUUUAUGGGUUUUUAUAUAAACCCUUUAUUACAGUAUAAAAUAAUCUUACACUACUAAAAUGCAAAAGGCUGUUUCACAAACACACGCUAACUACCCCAGCACCACAAAAAAAUCUAUCUUACCUGUGUAAUACUUGAUCCUUUCACCCACUGAGAGAAUCCAGAACACUUCUUAAAAAUACAUUAAAACAAUGCAGCUCUGUCCUAAACCUCCUCACAUCUGGUAAUAUUGGUUUGUUUGUGCCCAUUUUCAAAAUCCAGAUGCUCUGGUCUGGCCUGUCAUAUUUUGGUUUUUAUUCAUUUAUUCUUUCAAAGAGCAAAACCGUUUUUAACCAAACUAACACUAAAAUAUAAUGUAUAAAGCGUCUGUAAGCGGCUCUAAAUGACUUCAA